GGAGAGGUGUCCGAGUGGCUGAAGGAGCACGCUUGGAAAGCGUGUAUAGGGUAACCCCCUAUCGAGGGUUCGAAUCCCUCCCUCUCCG
rnacentral:tRNA from 1 species